rnacentral:lncRNA from 1 species
AUUCUGAAAAGUUCAAAUAUAUGUAUGGAACUAUUAAAAUUUUCUAAAAAUUAUUUUUCUUAUACUGACAGAUAGCCUAUUGGAAAGUGAUUUAAAUUUGCAGAGCAAUCCGGAUUGUAAUCUUGAUAAAUAUAUGUCGAAAUAAUAAUUAAGUGAUGGACAUAACUAUACAAAGAAUAAUGAAAUUCUGGUUACAUCCAAAUAUUAUAUUUAACAAUUCAUCUAAGGGAAAACGUCUACAAGAAUAUCUUUCCCACAUAAUUAAAAUAAC